rfam:Streptomyces violaceusniger Tu 4113, complete genome.
CUUGAUGGAACCGAGCAGCAACGGCCGCUCCGCAUCCCGCCCCUGGCCAUACGUGGCCAUCAGCGCCUGCGCCUC